rfam:Felis catus isolate Cinnamon breed Abyssinian chromosome F1, whole genome shotgun sequence.
GCCCGGGUGGCUCAGUCGGUUGAGCGUCUGACUUCAGCUCAGGUCGUGAUCUCGCCGUUUGUGGGUUCGAGCCCCGUGUCAGGCU